rnacentral:hammerhead_ribozyme from 1 species
AUCCCGCUGACGAGUCUCACAUAAGAUGAAAUGCGCGUCUUGGAU